UCAGAAACAAGCUAGUUAAAAAGCUUCCUGGUCAGCCUGUGAAAGAUACACUGCCAUGACUACAUAAAAUGCUACUGAGAUUGUGUAAUUUGAGGGGGAAAAAAAAUAGAAGGUACCUUGGAAAACUAUCAAGCACUUGUUGAGAAAUUUGGAUUACAUACCAUUCCACAUCACUGAAGUCAAAUGCCAUUAAAUUCUGUUCUUUUUGUCUGUCAAAUAAAAUGAACAAAUGCA